rnacentral:rRNA from 1 species
ACUCCUACGGGAGGCAGCAGUGGGGAAUUUUGGACAAUGGGCGAAAGCCUGAUCCAGCAAUGCCGCGUGAGUGAAGAAGGCCUUCGGGUUGUAAAGCUCUUUUGUCAGGGAAGAAACGGUGAAAGCUAAUAUCUUUUGCUAAUGACGGUACCUGAAGAAUAAGCACCGGCUAACUACGUGCCAGCAGCCGCGGUAAUACGUAGGGUGCAAGCGUUAAUCGGAAUUACUGGGCGUAAAGCGUGCGCAGGCGGUUUUGUAAGUCUGAUGUGAAAUCCCCGGGCUCAACCUGGGAAUUGCAUUGGAGACUGCAAGGCUAGAAUCUGGCAGAGGGGGGUAGAAUUCCACGUGUAGCAGUGAAAUGCGUAGAUAUGUGGAGGAACACCGAUGGCGAAGGCAGCCCCCUGGGUCAAGAUUGACGCUCAUGCACGAAAGCGUGGGGAGCAAACAGGAUUAGAAACCCGUGUAGUCCC